AUUGAACGCUGGCGGCAUGCCUUACACAUGCAAGUCGAACGGUAACGCGGGGCAACCUGGCGACGAGUGGCGAACGGGUGAGUAACGUAUCGGAACGUGCCCAGUAGUGGGGGAUAGCCCGGCGAAAGCCGGAUUAAUACCGCAUACGACCUACGGGUGAAAGAGGGGGAUCGCAAGACCUCUCGCUAUUGGAGCGGCCGAUGUCAGAUUAGGUAGUUGGUGGGGUAAAGGCCUACCAAGCCUACGAUCUGUAGCUGGUCUGAGAGGACGACCAGCCACACUGGGACUGGGACACAGCCCAGACUCCUACGGGAGGCAGCAGUGGAGAAGUUUGGAAAAUGGGCGCAAGCCUGAUCCAGCCAUGCCGCGUGCGGGAAGAAGGCCUUCGGGUUGUAAACCGCUUUUGUCAGGGAAGAAACGCUCUGGACUAAUAAUCUGGGGUAAUGACGGUACCUGAAGAAUAAGCACCGGCUAACUACGUGCCAGCCGCCGCCGUAA
rnacentral:rRNA from 1 species